AAAAGUUUUGUCCUGGCUUUACAAUCAACUUCAACCUAUAUUACACAUGCAAGCAUCCACUAACCAGUGAGAAAGCCAAUUAUACUUUGAGCUGGUAUCAGGCACAACAAAAGUUAGCCAAUAACACCUAGCUCAGCCACACCCCCAAGGGUUAACAGCAGUGAUAAACAUUAGCAAAUGAGCACAAGCUCGAACUAAGCACGGACAAUAAGGGUUGGCCAAUCUCGUGCCAGCCGCCGCGGUUAUACGAGAAACCCAAGUUGACAACCAACGGCGUAAAGCGUGAUAAAGAAUAAGUCCACAACAUAAGACUGAAACCCAACUAAACUGUCAUACGUACCAGUAGGCGAUAAACCCAAUUAUACAAAGGUAGUCUUAACUAAAAGACCUCUCAUCAUCACAACCGCUAAGAAACAAACUGGGAUUAGAUACCCCACUAUGCCUAGCCAUAAACUGAAUAAACUAUACAACUAUUUUCCGCCAGAACACUACGAGUUAACACUUAAAAAUCAAAGGACUUGGCGGUGCCCAAAAUCCACCCAGAGGAGCCUGUUCUAUAAUCGAUAAUCCACGCUAAACCUCACCACUCUUUGCUAAAACAGCCUAUAUACCACCGUCUGCAGCUCACCCCUUGAGGGGACACAAGUGAGCAAAAUUGAACCCACUAAAAACGUCAGGUCAAGGUGUAGCAUAUAGAGCGGAAAGAAAUGGGCUACAUUUUCUUACCAAGAACAAACGAAAAAGCAAAUGAAAAAUUCUUAGAAGGCGGAUUUGGCAGUAAAAAGAAACAAUCAUAUUCUUUUUAACACAGCCCUUGGGCGCGCACACACCGCCCGUCACCCUCAUCAACUUAACCACAUCAACUUAAUUAAACUAAAUAUACACCUUAACAGAAGAGGAAAGUCGUAACAUGGUAAGCGUACUGGAAAGUGCUCUUGGAAU
rnacentral:ncRNA from 2 species